rnacentral:rRNA from 2 species
UGGAUCCAGACUUUGAUCCUGGCUCAGGAUGAACGCUAGCUACAGGCUUAACACAUGCAAGUCGAGGGGAAACGAUAGAGAAAGCUUGCUUUUUCUAGGCGUCGACCGGCGCACGGGUGAGUAACGCGUAUCCAACCUGCCCAUCGCUUGGGGAUAACCUUGCGAAAGUAAGACUAAUACCCAAUGAUAUCUCUAGAAGACAUCUGAAGGAGAUUAAAGAUUUAUCGGUGAUGGAUGGGGAUGCGUCUGAUUAGCUUGUUGGCGGGGUAACGGCCCACCAAGGCGACGAUCAGUAGGGGUUCUGAGAGGAAGGUCCCCCACAUUGGAACUGAGACACGGUCCAAACUCCUACGGGAGGCAGCAGUGAGGAAUAUUGGUCAAUGGGCGAGAGCCUGAACCAGCCAAGUAGCGUGCAGGAUGACGGCCCUAUGGGUUGUAAACUGCUUUUAUAAGGGAAUAAAGUGAGCUACGUGUAGCUUUUUGCAUGUACCUUAUGAAUAAGGACCGGCUAAUUCCGUGCCAGCAGCCGCGGUAAUACGGAAGGUCCGGGCGUUAUCCGGAUUUAUUGGGUUUAAAGGGAGCGUAGGCCGGAGAUUAAGCGUGUUGUGAAAUGUAGAUGCUCAACAUCUGCACUGCAGCGCGAACUGGUUUCCUUGAGUACGCACAAAGUGGGCGGAAUUCGUGGUGUAGCGGUGAAAUGCUUAGAUAUCACGAAGAACUCCGAUUGCGAAGGCAGCUCACUGGAGCGCAACUGACGCUGAAGCUCGAAAGUGCGGGUAUCGAACAGGAUUAGAUACCCUGGUAGUCCGCACGGUAAACGAUGGAUGCCCGCUGUUGGCCUGAAUAGGUCAGCGGCCAAGCGAAAGCAUUAAGCAUCCCACCUGGGGAGUACGCCGGCAACGGUGCAACUCAAAUGAAUUGACGGA